rnacentral:rRNA from 1 species
AUUGAACGCUGGCGGCAGGCCUAACACAUGCAAGUCGAGCGGAUGAAGGGAGCUUGCUCCUGGAUUCAGCGGCGGACGGGUGAGUAAUGCCUAGGAAUCUGCCUGGUAGUGGGGGAUAACGUCCGGAAACGGGCGCUAAUACCGCAUACGUCCUGAGGGAGAAAGUGGGGGAUCUUCGGACCUCACGCUAUCAGAUGAGCCUAGGUCGGAUUAGCUAGUUGGUGGGGUAAAGGCCUACCAAGGCGACGAUCCGUAACUGGUCUGAGAGGAUGAUCAGUCACACUGGAACUGAGACACGGUCCGGACUCCUACGGGAGGCAGCAGUGGGGAAUAUUGGACAAUGGGCGAAAGCCUGAUCCAGCCAUGCCGCGUGCGUGAAGAAGGUCUUCGGAUUGUAAAGCACUUUAAGUUGGGAGGAAGGGCAGUAAGUUAAUACCUUGCUGUUUUGACGUUACCAACAGAAUAAGCACCGGCUAACUUCGUG